UACUGGCAAUUCAAAGUAAUGGCCAGAAAAAGUUAGUCCUGACAAUUAAACGCCAAUUUUCAUCUUCCCUCUAAUUUUUUUCAUGUGAAAUAUUCCCGCCUGGAUACAUUCACCCCUAAAUUGCAAAACAAUCAUCUCUAAAAUUGAGUAGACCUCUCUCUAUCUCUCUCUCCCUCACACGAAUGUCGGCAGCUAACUCAUCUCGCACCAUCGCCGGCCACCACCACCAGGCACCACUUUAUUGAGAUCUGCAUGUGCCAAAAGGAUUGGACUCAGCCAGGAUUUAUUUUACAUGAAAUAAUAUUGAGUAUCAAGGGACUGCAUUAGCAUCAGAAUAACAUCUUGCAAUUUUGUUGCUUAUCACUUGAAUAGACCUGAUAGGAUGCAUGACAAUUCAGCAAAUGAUAGAACAAAUCCUGUGAAGUGUGCAAUGUGUUUUCUCACAUUGUUAUCACAGUUUCAUCAACUUAUGCUCAAGAGGGUCCGGACUGCUCAGAUCAUAGCAUGCACAAUACAUUUAUUAUGCUGGUGUAAUUUGACGGGCUUAUCUGGUGCAGUAUGGCUCCUUUUCCUUGUGCGUAAGAGUUAUUGAUCUGGAGAAAUUUAGCCUAUCAUUUUGGUACACAAACAGAUCUUCAAGCUGAUGUAUAUUGUGAAAUUUGUGUGCUGCACUUUAAGUUGUGUAGCUGGUGCAAGAAUAAGUCUUCAACUGGUGUAUUUAGGCUAAUGUACUGGUAGAUUUUAGAGUUCAGGCUAGUAUAAGAAUGCUUCAUUUUGUAACAGAUCGGGGUAGAUUGAAGUCUUUGGGAAGUUUGUUGGAUGAAGACUUUCAUUAUGAGCAAGGAAUGAAGAGAUACUUGUUAAAUAUAAAAUGAUAUUGAAUUCAAAUGGUUUUUUCGUCUU